GAUGAAGAACGUAGCGAAAUGCGAUACUUGGUGUGAAUUGCAGAAUCCCGUGAACCAUCGAGUCUUUGAACGCAAGUUGCGCCCGAAGCCUCGGCUAAGGGCACGUCUGCCUGGGCGUCACGCAUCGCGUCUCCCCCAAACCGCCAAGGCGGAGGGGAAGGAAGAUGGCUUCCCGUGCCUCACCCGGGCGCGGUUGGCCUAAAUUUGGAGCCCGCGGCACUUAGCUCUCGCGGCGAUAGGUGGUGAACAAGGCCUUGGCCGUGCAAACAACCCGCUGCGAAGCUCUAUGUCACGUGCGCUCGUCGGACCCUUUGAAGUUGCCUUUGGUGACUUAAAACCUUUGCGACCCCAGGUCAGGCGGGGCUACCCGCUGAAUUUAAGCGUAUCAUAAGCGGAGGA
rnacentral:misc_RNA from 1 species